rnacentral:rRNA from 1 species
GACGAACGCUGGCGGCGUGCUUAACACAUGCAAGUCGAACGGUAAGGCCCUUCGGGGUACACGAGUGGCGAACGGGUGAGUAACACGUGGGUGAUCUGCCCUGCACUUCGGGAUAAGCCUGGGAAACUGGGUCUAAUACCGGAUAGGACUCCUGGCUUCAUGGUUGGGGGUGGAAAGCUUUUGCGGUGUGGGAUGGGCCCGCGGCCUAUCAGCUUGUUGGUGGGGUAAUGGGCUACCAAGGCGACGACGGGUAGCCGGCCUGGGAGGGUGACCGGUCAAACUGAGACUGAGAUACGGCCCAGACUCCUACGGGAGGCAGCAGUGGGGAAUAUUGCACAAUGGGCGCAAGCCUGAUGCAGCGACGCCGCGUGAGGGAUGACGGCCUUCGGGUUGUAAACCUCUUUCAGCUAUGACGAAGCGCAAGUGACGGUAGUAGCAGAAGAAGGACCGGCCAACUACGUGCCAGCCGCCGCGGUAA